CACCGAUGGUGAAUCAGUUGUUCCACCAGGAGCAUAGCUGAGUAGCUAAGUGUGGAAAAGAUAAGCGCUGAAAAGCAUCUAAGCGUGAAACAGACUUCAAGAUUAGGUAUCUCACUUUGUUAAGAAGGUAAGAUCCCUUAAAGAUGAUAAGGUAGAUAGGCCAGAGGUGUAAGUGUAGUAAUACAUUAAGCUAACUGGUACUAAUAGAUCGAGGGCUUAAUCAU
rnacentral:ncRNA from 1 species